rnacentral:rRNA from 1 species
UACAGAGGGUGCAAGCGUUAAUCGGAAUUAUUGGGCGUAAAGAGCGCGUAGGUGGAUUUGAAAGUUAGAUGUGAAAUCCCUGGGCUUAACCUGGGAACUGCAUUCAAAACUCCAAGUCUAGAGUAUAGUAGAGGGAAGUGGAAUUUCCGGUGUAGCGGUGAAAUGCGUAGAUAUCGGAAAGAACAUCAGUGGCGAAGGCGACUUCCUGGACUAAUACUGACACUGAGGUGCGAAAGCGUGGGGAGCAAACAGG